UAAGAGACAGCAGUAGCCGCGGUAAAACGGGGGGGGCAAGUGUUAUUCGGAAUGACUGGGUGUAAAGGGCACGUAGGCGGUGAAAAGGGUGGAAAGUGAAAGUCGCCAAAACACUGGCGGGGUGCUUUCUUGACCAUUUCACUUGAGUGAGAUAGGGGAGAGUGGAAUUUCGUGUGGAGGGAUCAAAUCCUAAGAUAUACGAAGGAACGCCAACCACGAAGGCAGCUCUCUGGGUCCCCACUGACGCUGGGGUGCGAAAGCAUGGGGAGGAAACAGGAUCAGAUACCCGGGUAGUCCCUGUCUCUUAUACC
rnacentral:rRNA from 1 species